rnacentral:rRNA from 1 species
AAACGCUGAAGGCAUCUAAGCGUGAAGCCCCCCUCAAGAUGAGAUGUCCCAUUCGAAAGAAGUAAACCCCCUUGAAGACGACGAGGUAGAUAGGGCAGGGGUGGAAGUGCAGUAAUGUACGGAGCUGACUGUUACUAAUAGGGUGAGGGCUUGACCAA